AUAAUCUAUCACAAAUUAAUUGUUUAUUUAUCAUAUUUUGUCUAGAUAUCUAUGUAUUGCAUUUUCACUUGAAGCAAUUUGAUAAUGACCAUGUUUUUAUUACAAUCGAUAUUAGCGAAGAAGAAUUUAAACACAAAACUUGAGCGGCUUAAAAAUAAUGCACUUUAAACCAUAGAAAUUAUAGAAUAGUGUCACUAUAUAUAGAGUUGGCAGACCUUUUUCUCAAUUUUGCUAUUUCAAAUAUGUCGACCCAUUUCUGUAGCUUCAAACUAUGCGCUACGGUGUAGAAUCCAUUUUCUUAUAAUUCGAUAGUCACGCCACCUAGUACUAUGGUCUAAUUAUAUUUUUCUUCACUUGUAAGUGAGAGGUAUUAUGUUCGAUUCUCGCCAAAAGCGAUUUUGAAUCACAUAAUUGAAGCCCAUUAUAAAACUUAGUCUGUUCUCUCAUCUCUUUAGUAUGGAUGAUAUCAUCGUUUAAAAAUUUAGAACUCGUUUGGAUGUGCUUUUAAAAUGAUUGAAAGCGUUUUUGGUGAAAAUAUUUUUGGAAACAAUCCUUAGUAAAAAUACUAGUAAAUCCUGGAAAAUCACUUAAAGUGCUUCUUGAAAGAAGCACAUAACUGGUGCUUCUUGAAAGAAGCACAUAAUUGGUGCUUCUUGUAGAAAACACUUAAAGUGCUUUUAGAACCCAACAAUAUUUUCUCUAAAAGCGCUUUCAGUCAUUUAAAAAGUACAACCAAACGAGCUCAUAAUUAGACAGUCACGUCUAAUAUUAAAUUUAGUAUUAUUAUUGAUUUAAACCUAAAAAUUCUAAAAAUUAAAUGCACGAAAACACUAAAUAUCUUCUUUUUAUAGCGUACUUUGGAUGGCCCAAGGCCCUAAAACACAUUUAAAUACAACCGUAUCUGGCUCUAACCAAACCAUUUGGGGUAAAUUCUCUUCAAAACAUUGAUGUGUGGGCGCCGGAGAUGUGGCCCAACUCUCGAACAGGCCAUCAGCAACUCUCGGUGAAAUGAGAGGCGCUUUCUUGACAUGCAUGCAUGGCUUUCUCUUUAGCAUUCCUGUCAUGCACCCAGAUUAACCAAUAAGCCAGAGAACCGCCACAACAGCUUGGACGGUGACUCUAACAGCAACGAAAGAUUUUCUCUUCCCUGUUCCUGCAUGCAAAGAUGGAAUUGUACAUACGUACUCGGUAUUAAUAAUAUCAAGCCAAAACCUAAUCAACAUAGUACUAAUUAGUUAAUUAAAUUGAUCAUCAUUUUAAUCAUAAUACUUACCACCACUUUUGGUUGGCUUUCCUUCCCCGUAGAAGAGGUCAGGCCCGUAUCUCACCUGACAGCUUGGCGAAAAAAUCAUACCCCAUGUUCUUCCCUCACAAGUCUCCAGAUACCCACCGACACCCGCCCUCAAACACCUUUGGCAGUCAGUCCCAUUUAUGUCCGGAGUACAUUGCAUCAAACAAUAUAUCGACGUCCCUCCGUUGCCUUUCUUGUCAUCCCCGGUUGCAAAAUAAAUUGGAGUCGUAUUCCCAACAGCUUUGUCCACAAGACCAUUCAUCAAACUCAACAAGCUCUGAUUAAACUGGUCUUUGUUUGAAACUUUGUUCACACUGCACCAAUACCGCCACGGAAGCUCCUCCUCCGUGGCAGAGAUGGAUCGGUUCGAAUAUCUCAACAUGCAUUCCUCAUACCAAACGAUGGAUUCCCUGUUGUUGGUGCAAUUUUGUUUGAGGUUCUUGGCAGCGGAGUUGAUGCAGUCGCGGCAGACUCCGGACUUGACAUCACCUCGACAAAGAUAUAGGCCGUACACUUUUUUGUCGUUGUCUCCGGAUGUGGAGUUGUAGAAGCUGGUGCCGGAAGAUUUAGAGGAGAGUUCGGAGAGGAGUUUGUUGACGUUGUCUUGGAACGGGGCGUUUUGGGCUGUGUUAACUUCUAAAGAGCAGUAGUGGUGGAUGUAGUGAAUCGAAUUGGAACAGAUCACAAGUUUGAAUAGGCCGAUGAACGACAGGGAUACAAUUAUUAGGGUGUGAUCAUGAAAAUUAACUAAUGACAUCUUAAUUUGUUUGAUCGAAUCCCUAAAAGUUCCUUAACUGGUGGUGCAAAAGAAUCAUAAUUAGAAAUAAUUAAGGUGGUUUUUCAGUGAUGGAGAUCAAAUGACAUCUUUGUUUGCUCGAUGGUUGAAGAUUGUUGAAUUAGUGGUGCAAAAGGAAUGCAGAUUGCAUGUAUGAAUAUUGACUAUAAAUAAUAGGAGGCAUACCUGAAAGGCUCUCAUAAUUUGCGUUGACAUAUUCAACGUGAUUUUCUCUUUUCUAUGACUAAUUCAGAAAACAAAUAAUGGUUGGAAGAGGGAACAGACAUCCGCUAGUUUCACUGUAAAAGUAUUCUAUAAAUAUAAGUUACAAGAAUAAACCCACCAACUUGAAGCAAGAAUACAAGAAAAUGACUUGUGCUACAAAAAGAACAAAAAAAAAAGCUUGGUAUAUAUGUUCCCAAAAAAAACAUCAG
rnacentral:lncRNA from 1 species